rnacentral:tRNA from 1 species
GCGGGUGUGGUGGAAUGGCAGACACGCAUGCCUUAGGAGCAUGUGCCGUGAGGCGUGGAGGUUCAACUCCUCUCACCCGCACCA